rnacentral:rRNA from 1 species
AGAGUUUGAUCCUGGCUCAGAGCGAACGCUGGCGGCAGGCUUAACACAUGCAAGUCGAGCGGGCGUAGCAAUACGUCAGCGGCAGACGGGUGAGUAACGCGUGGGAACAUACCUUUUGGUUCGGAACAACACAGGGAAACUUGUGCUAAUACCGGAUAAGCCCUUACGGGGAAAGAUUUAUCGCCGAAAGAUUGGCCCGCGUCUGAUUAGCUAGUUGGUGAGGUAAUGGCUCACCAAGGCGACGAUCAGUAGCUGGUCUGAGAGGAUGAUCAGCCACAUUGGGACUGAGACACGGCCCAAACUCCUACGGGAGGCAGCAGUGGGGAAUAUUGGACAAUGGGCGCAAGCCUGAUCCAGCCAUGCCGCGUGAGUGANGAAGGCCCUAGGGUUGUAAAGCUCUUUUGUGCGGGAAGAUAAUGACGGUACCGCAAGAAUUAGCCCCGG